rnacentral:lncRNA from 1 species
UACAUAUCAUGUACUAGUUGUGUAGUCUAGUGAACCAUUUGGUUAUUGUUGUUCUUGUAAUCUUGUAACUGUUGGAUUGUUGUUAGUGUUGUUCCUCUCGUUAUUGUUGUUUAUCUCUUCUUGUUGUUAGUGCUUUUGGUGUCAUUUACACCUUGUUUCUUGAUGUUGUUGGAACCGAGAUUUGGUGUUUGUUGAGCUCUUGGGUUUCUCUUUGUUUGUGGACUAUUUUUGGCUUGUUUUUGAUACUACCAAAUUUGUAUCGUAUCAUUUGGUAUCAGAGCUUGUGGUUGAUUUUGUUCCAACAAAAUCAAUCUUGGGAUUGCUAGAAAAAUCAAAAAAUAAAAAGAGAAAGAAGUGUUCUUGUUCUUGUUCUUGUUCAUGGCCGAGAAACUUGUAGUGUUCUUGUUGUAGUCUUGGCCGAAAUUGGUGGAGUCUAGCUCUAGGAUUUCAUUUUUGUUAUUGUUGUUUCUUGAUUCACUAACACUAAAGGUAUCUAGAUCUAUAUUUGAGCUUAAAAACUUGUUAAAGUUGUGUUGUGAACAAAGUCCUAGACUGAAAUUUGUGGACUUGUUGUGGAGGUUGGAGUAGGCGUUGAAGGUGUUGUUAUUGUUAUUCUUGAAAAGUUGUUGUGUUCUUGUUGUUCUUCAUCACUUCUCUUAUCUUGACCAACUUAAAGUAGUUAAUAGAUCUAGAAAAGGUGAAGACAAAGUUGGAAGACUUGUUGGUGAAAGGACUAGCUCACCUCACUCUUGACUUGAAAAUAACUUUUUCAACCACUUUCCUUGUUUCUAGGAGCCUUGUUUUGUGGAAACUAGUACAAGUCUAAUAUCACUUUUUUGAGUUGAAUUUGAAAAGAGUUACAAGACUUGUGUUUUUCCCUCCAAAUACUAAUUGUCUUCCAUUCCAAAAGUAUAAGGACUAAAAAUUCCAAGAACGGUGAUUAAAACUUGUGUGGGUCUGUGACCAAUUAGGGGGUGACAUGUCACCAAUUACUGUUCACACGACAAAUUUUAAGCUCAAAUUUGAUCUUCUAGUUUCAUUUUGUUGUUUCUUUUGUUGAUUCCAAUACUAACUUAUAAGCUAGUAACCACUUACUAGAUUGUGAGUUGGUUUGAACUGUUCUUUGUGUUUACGUCCUUGUGUAUUUUUUUUUAUUUGGAGUCGUUGUAAACAUUGGAAUUCACCUCUCAACACCUCACGGAGUAGAAGCAAGCAUACAACACUUGUGAGAUUAAGUGUGAGGAAUCCAAGAAUAAAUAAAUAAAGAGAAAGUAUGAGGACCUUUCUUUUACAACUAAACUGUUUGUUGUUUUGUAGCAAAACUUCUUGGCUAAAAUCAAUUGAGAUGGAUAAGAUUGAAGUAAAAAUGCAAGAUGUAGAGGAAGCCAAGGUGCAAAAUAAAGACGUUGGCCGAGACUUGAAAUUGUUGUGUUCUCGGUUUCUUCUUAUUUUGUGGACUGUUUUGGAGCCAUUUUCAUUUGGCUAGUGCCAUGAAUUUGAGGUCAAAUUCCUCUCAAGAUGGAGAGGCUGAUACAAUCACGAUCAUGAAGAUGAACAUUUUUGAGUAUUUUGGAUGUAACCUCAGAGGUGUACGAGUUGAAGUGUUAAAAAGGGCUACAAACCACCCCUAAAAACACUCCAUGGGUGCUUAUUUGCCUACUUGGUUAUUAAAGGGCCUUUUUGUCAUUUUAUAUUUUUAUUUGUAAAGUACUAUAAAUAGAACAAUAUAGGGUUUUAGUUCAUUAGUUUUUGUUGAAUAUUGUUGAAAGAGCACAUCUCUUGAGAGAGAGGGUCUCUAGGCCUAAACUAGGACAUGAACAAGUGUGGAUUCACUUGUGAUUGUGUAUUGCUUGGAAACGUUGGUGCUUGAGCAGUGGAAUCCCUCUUGUAUCAUGUAAGAGUGUGCUGUGGCUAUUGUAAGUCUUAUAGGUCCUUAGAUUUAAUACAUCUUUGGGUUUUUUACCUUGUAAUAAUCUAUAUAUCACUUCCUAUCUUUACAUAUCAUGUACUAGUUAUCUAGUCUAGUGAACCGUUUGGUUUUUGUUGUUCUUGUAAUCUUGUAACCGUUGGAUUGUUGUUAUUGUAGUGUUGUUCCUCUUGUUAUUAUUUUUUAUCUCUUGUUUUUGUUAGUGCUUUUGGUGUCAUUUACACCUUGUUUCUUGAUGUUGUUGGAACCGAGAUUUGGUGUUUGUUGAGCUCUC